UACAGAGGUGGCUAGCGUUGUUCGGAAUUACUGGGCGUAAAGGGAGCGCAGGCGGCCAGGUGCGUCUGAGGUGCAAGCCCGGGGCUCAACCCCGGAAUCGCUUUGGAUACGGCCUGGCUUGAGUAUGUCAGAGGUGAGCGGAAUUCCAGGUGUAGCGGUGAAAUGCGUAGAUAUCUGGAGGAACAUCCGUGGCGAAGGCGGCUCACUGGGACAAAACUGACGCUGAGGCUCGAAAGCGUGGGGAGCGAACGGG
rnacentral:rRNA from 1 species